GGGGAGAAGGAUUGAAUUUCAAAAAGAGAGCAUAAGGGAACAAAAAAAGAGAGGAGGAGAAAAAUCCAAUUUCGAAAAGAGAAGGAAGAAAACAAAGAAAAAAAGGAGUGGGACAAAGAGACACGUGCACAGAUGAAUGAACAACUUUCUGUGGAAGCUUUUUAUGGUGCAGUGGAGGACCUUUAAGGAAGCUUCAGAAGGGUGGAGAUCAAUUUCCUGGUUACAUUUCCUUUCCCAUUCUUAUUGGACUUUUGUUUUCAUUUUAUU
rnacentral:lncRNA from 1 species